CUGUUCCCUCCUGGACUACUGGAUCGACAAGUUCCCUGAGGAGUUUUGCAGGAUAGAACACCUGCCCAUUCUGAAGCGGGUGAAGGAUUACUUGAGCGUGAACAUGCCCUCCUCAGGCCUUCUGGUGCGUGUCCAGUCUCUCUAGGAAAAUUUGCUGUCACAAGUGGCCAGCGAUUCAGGGGCCAGCGAUGAGGAAGCCUCAGGGUCCACGGCCACGUCCCCUCCUAGAGACGCCGGCUUGAGCAACACACCUGUGUGCAAUCUUAAGCCCGGGCAGCGGCGCCUCCGCAGAUCCAGUGCUCCCAGUGUGUUGACCAGCAAUGGCGACGGCUACUCUGGAGCCAGAAGCAGCCUGUGCACUGGAGCCGGAGAGCACACAACCGACACAAGGUUCUGUGACCCGUGUGCAGCUGGAGCCACAUGUGGCGGCAGCAGCGGGCUCAUCGCCACCCACUGAAGCUGUCGCUGUUGGCCGUGAGGGCAGACGCGGUACCACAUUCAACAUCUUGCUUGGGCCGCAGUGGUCUGCCUCCCCAGGGAACGGCCCGGCCACCCCUUCCUCCUCCUCUGGUCGUCUGCAUGUAUCUGCCCUGCAGACGGCACAGCUUCUGGUGUUUCCCCACAGAACGACUCCCCGAUUGCAACCCAGCAGCCUUGUCAGCCCCACAGCCAGACUCACCCUGCCCUGGCUAGCAGCCUUUUGACUCUGAUCAAUGUUGUGUUAGUUUAGUCCGAGGAUUGGUUUGAAUAAAUUGCUCUUGUUUGUGUUUCA